UACGUAGGGUGCAAGCGUUGUCCGGAAUUAUUGGGCGUAAAGAGCGUGUAGGCGGCCAGAUAAGUCCGCUGUGAAAUCUCGAGGCUCAACUUCGAGCUGUCGGUGGAAACUGUCUGGCUAGAGUCCGGAAGAGGCGAGUGGAAUUCCUGGUGUAGCGGUGAAAUGCGCAGAUAUCAGGAGGAACACCAAUGGCGAAGGCAGCUCGCUGGGACGGUACUGACGCUGAGACGCGAAAGCGUGGGGAGCAAACAGG
rnacentral:rRNA from 1 species